rnacentral:lncRNA from 1 species
CUUGGGUAUGAAAGUCAAAUGCAGGUGCAUGUCAGUGUAAUCUCUUUGUAAUUUCUAAGAUUUUGUUCUUGUGGACAUGUGUGACACUGAUACACAUUUAUAAGUAUCUAGUAUGGUUACUUUGUGUUAAGCUAAAGGAUCUGAUAGCAUUGUUGUGGCCAAUCCCCUCGUCGCCUGAUCGCCGAGAAACGAGCGCCUGCAAAAAGGAAAGUCCACACUGAUCGGAGGCGGCUCCGGCGGGGACCCUCUGACGGUCAAGUCAGAGAGGUGACCGGGCAACAGUGAAAUGAAGACAGAGAGCUCAAUCGAGAGAGAGAGAGAGGGAGAGCAAGCCUGUGGUUUCGAAGUCAAAGUCGAGGUCGAAGUCCCCUGCACUGUUGCCUUCCCCGAUUUAAUAGUGGAGCGUGGUAUGGCGCCGUCAUUAAUGGCGCGGACAAUUGAGGAAUUGUCAACUCACUGUAGACUGUCAGAGUCGCCGUAAAAGUGUCACAUCGCCGUAGGGCUGUCAAAUCACUAGGGUUGACAAUGCCCCUAGGCGGCAGUGCCGCAUGCCGUUGUCAGGGCUGACAGUUUGUGGCAGUCGUACGGUGAUCGGAAGAGUCGACC